UGAAAACGAGACGAAUCUGGGUCAGUGCUGGUCACGUGGUAUUGGACCGAAAGCAGAACUGUGCAACCAUAGCCAGGACGCCAGCGUGUCAUGUGAUGUUCCGCUCAAUGUGUCGGGUUUAUCUAGCACGCCGCUUCCGAAAGCAAGAUGUACAGGCUAAAGCUUUAGAUAGAACGGGCAGUGUAAAACAAAAUGAUAUUCGCCUGUCACGAGGCAGCUCUUGUCUGGAAGGUCUAGUGCAGUUGCCACGAGGGCGAGUGGCGGACGGUGUUAAACCACGGAUUCGGCGCGCGGGAAGCGACCGUCUUCUGCCGGGUGCUGGGCUUCACGUUGGUCUAGGGCUGGUGUUUUUUACAGCAAGUUAAGAUGUAUAUAAGUAUUAUCAUCGAAUCCCGUAGCACAUUCUGAGGCUUACCCAAGGGUGUGGGUCGAACUCAACAUGAGCCCCGCUCUGGGAAAACCGAACUUAAUGCAUGUACAACAGAGUCUUACCAAAUUUACAUGUGCAGUCUGGCACUUGCUAGUGAGUUUGGUUGGUGGUGACAAUAACGGGCAGGUGUUGUUUCCUCCGUGGACUUCAUUGUCUUCCCACACUACAAGACCACACCAAAAUUAAAAAUAAUUGUCAGUUAGGAGAGUCAAACAGCUUAUUAGGUAGGAGUGCUUAGACUAUCGUCAAGUUCUCUUAUUGCGCAUUCUCAGGCGCGGAACCACCCAAUUUAUUUUGAAAUCAACACAAACACGUUCUUUGUCAAUUACGAGAUUGUG